rnacentral:rRNA from 1 species
GUAAUAUAUUGGAACGUACCGAGUAAUGGGGGAUAACCAAUCGAAAGAUUGGCUAAUACCGCAUACGCUCUGAGGAGGAAAGCAGGGGACCUUCGGGCCUUGCGUUAUUCGAGCGGCCAAUAUCUGAUUAGCUAGUUGGUGGGGUAAAGGCCUACCAAGGCGACGAUCAGUAGCGGGUCUGAGAGGAUGAUCCGCCACACUGGGACUGAGACACGGCCCAG